UUAGCCUGGCACGGCAGUAUGUUGGUAACCGGUACAUUAUGCUUUUACGUGAGGAAAGCUACAUAAGAAAAGCUGUAAAAUAUACUGUCGAAAACAGUGAAAGACUGGUCGUGUUCAUACGUAGACAGCUGUAAAAACUGUGUGUGUCUGUGGUGUAAGUUGCCCAUGACAGUGGACAUAUAAACUCGCCCAACGUAACGAAUUAGAAGUCGAUGUAAAUCGGACAUGCCCAGAAUGCUAGGCGGUAAAAAAAAGUUCCAUGAUGGAGCAAGGUACUUUGUGCCGUUUGAGAGUGGAUUUAUUUUCCUGGGUGCAGGAGGGAGAGUGGAUUUGACUCUACAUACAUGGUGUGCGCCUACUGUUCAGGAGAAUCCACGUCUUCGAGAUAAAAUUAUGGGUCUGAAUAGGUGAGUACCAUUUGUACACUGGCACCAUGAUCUGUAGGUAAGAAUGAAAUAGCUACUUGUGUUGUACAUGACUGGAGAUUGAAUGUGGUAAAUUAUUUAGAAAGACAAAAAGGAAGUGUGGUUAGAACCAUGUGUUCAUCUCUUAGGAAAUCAGGGCACUGUGUGGAAGAGUGGUAAUUUUAAACCCAAGAUCAUGUGCAGUUCCAUAGAACUCCAGUGUGACCAGAUGUAAACCAGGCCAGUCUUCAGGAAAACUAAUCACUGUGAAGUAUAGAGUUUUUGAUGUCAAGAUGUUGGCUGCCCUGUCACUGUGACCUAAAUACCCUGUGUAGCAUCAAUGUAGGUUUCUUUCCUGGUAUGAACAGGUUUUUAUAAAUAUGAGACGGUUUUGUGUGUGUAUGUUUAUAUACAUAUAUUUACAAGUUUUGUUUAUUUAUCUGCCUGAAAGUAUAUCUUAAAAUAUUCAAUGAAGUAGUGCAAAUUUUAGUCGCAAUGGCGAGUGCACCAAAUUUUUCAAACGUGUUUCCUCCGUUCCACAACGAAAUCGAAGUGUUUUCUCUGUAAACCAUGAAACUGAAGUAUGCAUCAGUGAAGAAUACACCAUUAGGUACAUUUAUUGAUUUGUCGAAAGUAAGUGCAUAUAAGAAUAGUGGGAGUGUUAUGAAAGAUAAUGUGUCUUUGAGGUUAUUCUUGCACUGUUAUUCAUAAUCUCGUGUGAAAUAUGUACAUUGAUUUUCAGAAAAUGUGUUGUAGUGGUAAUAUGGCUAGAAAGUGAAUUAGAUUUUAUGAGUUCAUAUUUGAUAUGAGAGAAAACUGGGUGUAGUUUUGGAAUGUAGUCUCUGAAUAUUACACGUGUGAGUACGUUAUUAGUCAGAGUGAUAUACUUCAUUUUGCAUUAGUAUAAGUGCUUGUAAGAAGAGGGUGCAAAGAUAAUUUCUAUUUCCCAUUGAAGAAGGUGUUUUUUGAAUUCAUAACUUAGUACUAUGUGACAGAGAGUGGUGGGUAUAAUAUACACUUAUGUUGUUUUGGUCACAAU